CCGAUCGGACGAAGGGACACGGGAAAAGAACCUAGGAGCCCUGAAGCUACAAUCAAGAAAACGCCAACACCGACCGCUAGCGGCAAAAGUAGGAGAGUGUAAGACCUCUCCCUCCCGCAGUUUCUGUUACAGGUCAUGCCCCAAGGAAGGUGACCGGUACGAAGGAGGCUGCUUCCUGGCCGAGCCCUGUGGACAUUUUAAGCCAAGACUCCUGUUCUGCCUGGACUGUUUUAGCUUGAUUUUUAUUUAGUUUUUAGUUUAAAAUCCUUUUUUUAACUAAUUUUAUUGUUAUUCCUUUUAAAUAAAUCUGUUUACUCCUCA